GCCCGGCUAGCUCGGUCGGUAGAGCAUGAGACUCUUAAUCUGAGGGUCGUGGGUUAGAGCCCCACGCUGGGCG